UAAAAAGUAUGGCGCAGCUUGCAGAAAAAUAAGCGCACGGCGGGCAACUCGAAUCGGUAUCCAAAGCACGUGCCUGCUGCCCAUUAGCUGGUACCGAUCUUGGAAAAUGGAGGAUUGUAGAAAUUAUUUUACAGUAGCAGUAGCAUACUCUAUUUAUUUCGAUGUUUAGAUGGAGAAUAUCGCUACCAUAAAAAAGUGACUAGAAAAACUGUAUGUCACUGUUCAUAACAGACAAGUAAAAUUCGAGAUGGGACCUUAAGCUCGUGGGCCCAGGGGUGACAAUUUAAUCUUUUUGGAUGAUGACAUACAUUUAUAUACCCAGGCGGGAGGAGUGAGGAAGAGAAAUAUCCUGUGAUAAUAAUAACAGGAUCCACAACUCAUCUCCAGUCAAUACAUUAAUUUGUUAGUAACUUCUAAAAUACUAGUUCAAUUAUUGUUGCCUAUCAGUUGUUUUCUUAAUUAUGUAAUUUUUUAUUUUAUAGGCUAGUUAAAUUUGUAUGCCAUUUAAAAAAAUUAAGAUGAUUUCAAUAAUAAAUUUGAAACAUUAGCAUAAACUAAAGAAAUGGAUAUAUUUGUAAAUACUCUAAAUAAUACAAUAACACAAUAACGUUUUAAUAAAUUAAUCUUCCCAUUUUAAUUAAUGUUUUGCUCUUGUAUAAUAAAUGUAAUAACAUUUUUAAUCGCUUAAAAUAAAUAUCCCUAAUACAAACAUAUUAAGUUUCUAAUUAAUAAAAUAUUUAUUAGAAUUUCACAUGAAUUUACUAUAUAGGUGUUCGGGAAGUAAGAAAACAGAUUUCUUUGACCUGUUUCCUAACAAAUUAGAAAUUUAUUGACAAAUUAUAGAAUUAAAAUACUUAUUCUUUAAUAAUAAAUUUAUCUUCUUCAUUAGGUUGGACAAAUUAAAUUAAAAAACAAAAAGAAAGCAAAAACGGAUGAAAUAGUUAUUGAAUUUGGGAAAUUUUAUAUUUCUAUACUAAUUUUUAUUUAAGAUAAAAAAAAAAAUACGGAAAUAAUUCUUUGUAACUUGUUAGUUUUAUAGGGAAAUAUUCAUAAAAACUUAAAAUUUAAUAUUU